GUAUGUAUUAUGUGUCGUGCCAACGAAAGGACCCGAACUCAGCUUGAUGUUGUGGAUACACAAUGUACCCACAACGCUGGUAUUCUGUUCGGGCCCAAACGAGGGAAGUUCUGGUAAUUAAUAUUAUGUACUUAAAAUUUAA